CCUACGGGUGGCAGCAGUGAGGAAUAUUGGUCAAUGGACGAGAGUCUGAACCAGCCAAGUAGCGUGAAGGAUGACUGCCCUAUGGGUUGUAAACUUCUUUUAUAUGGGAAUAAACUGUUCCACGUGUGGGAUUUUGUAUGUACCAUAUGAAUAAGGAUCGGCUAACUCCGUGCCAGCAGCCGCGGUAAUACGGAGGAUCCGAGCGUUAUCCGGAUUUAUUGGGUGUAAAGGGAGCGUAGGUGGAUUGUUAAGUCAGGUGUGAAAGUUUGCGGCUCAACCGGAAAAUUGCAGUUGAAACUGGCAGUCGUGAGUACAGUAGAGGUGGGCGGAAUUCGUGGUGUAGCGGUGAAAUGCUUAGAUAUCACGAAGAACUCCGAUUGCGAAGGCAGCUCACUGGACUGCAACUGACACUGAGGCUCGAAAGUGUGGGUAUCAAACAGGAUUAGAUACCCGGGUAGUC
rnacentral:rRNA from 1 species